CUAAAAUUAUUCAGCUCAUUUUUUGAUUACAACAUGUACAAUUUUUUUGUGCAACUUGUAGCUUAUACAAAAUCGUAACUUGUACACAACAUUUAUACAGACAGAGAGAGAGUGCUUCGUGCACAUAGAGAAGAUUCUCCCUUUCUAUCCCAAUGACGUCACUUUAUUUCUGCGCCUAAGAAUUGACGUUCCAUUUCUUGCAGCGCCUAGAACUUGUUAUCAAUGUUAUUGUUACAAGUUUAGUCAACAAAUAUUGUAUAUCUUACUGAAAAUUUACUCAACAUAACAUAUGACGUCAUUGAGAUCCCCAAAUACAGGAAUAUAACGAUGAAGGAUAAUUGAAAAAUCUAAAUUACUAAAUUUGUUAUUUUCUAUGUAUUACAUUUACCGAUAAAAGUGCGCCCAAUGACGUCACCUGAAAGAGGAAGCGAGAUAGUUAUUUAAUAAAUCUGCUCAGUUUGCCUUACAAUUUUUUUAUUGCGUAACAUUGCUUCUUAUACAAACUUUGAUCUCGCAUCCAUACAGUCAAGACAUUAUUGCAGUGGUAAGUCGCGUGAUCCUCCAAAGGGGAAGAAA
rnacentral:lncRNA from 1 species